rnacentral:sRNA from 1 species
GCUGGGAUGUCUAGUUUCUAGAUCCAGUAAAAUCAGCCCCUUUUGCAAAUGAGCCUAGUGGUCCUUACAAACUCUGCCUACAUCCAGAGAGGCAAGAUAAUUUUAAAGUUUUCAGUGGCUCGGGAUAUAUUAGAUGACAGUGAGUGAAAUAUACUAAUUUCUCCCUCUUUUCUCUUGCAUUUCAUUUCUAGAACAAGAGGAAAGUAUGGGGAAGGAGCCAAGCAGGAGACGUUCACCUUUGCCUUAACUUUGGUCUUCAUUCAAUGUGUGAUCAAUGCUGUGUUUGCCAAGAUCUGGUGGAUCGUACCCGGAGCUGGCUCUAUGCUGCCUGUUCUAUCUCCUAUCUGGGUGCCAUGGUCUCCAGCAACUCAGCACUACAGUUUGUCAACUACCCAACUCAGGUCCUUGGUAAA